rnacentral:sRNA from 1 species
CUAUGUUCGGGAUGACGCUGCACACCUGGUGGUCCUGAAGACAGGUCGCUGCGGAGGAGCUUUGCUGUCUGCUAGGCCAGGUCUUCCAGGUUGUUUACACGGAGUCCACCAUCGACUUUCUGGACAGAGCGAUAUUUGAUGGGGCCUCUACCCCCACCCACCACCUGUCCCUGCACAGCGGUAUGUUGAGUGAGAGUGGGCAGCGGGUGGGAGCAGGGACAGGAGGGGCUACUGCAGUGGCCCCCAGCUCCCCAUGAGUUACUCCUGGAAUAGCGCAGUUACUGCCGUGACAUGGUGGCCUUUUGUUUCCAGACUUUGCUAUUCACAUUAGCCCAUAGGGUUUCAUGAAGGCAGAAGUGUCACCUGUCCUUGAGCGAGUUGCACCAGGUCAGCACUAUGGCUUCCUGGAAUAAAUUUGGGGUCUGUGAACACUUUUUUGGAACCACUUGUGGCUAAAGUCACUUCACUUAACUCGGAACAAAGAGCCUGGAGAAGGCUCCUAGCACUGGGGCCUGUGAUGGAAUUGGGGAGGCUGAGAGUGGGUCUGGGGAGCCUCCUUUUCAGUAUGCCCAGACUAUGGCUGCUCUUAAUGUGAAACUCCUUCCAGGACCAUGGCCAGACCCAUGGGAAGCUGCUCAGGCUGCCCUGGGAGGCCAGCUGGCAGUGGUGGAGCAGUGGCAGAUGGGGAAGAAUGGAAGGUACCCCAGAGCUGUCUCUUCCUGCAUGGCCCACACAGCAUUUUCAGGAGUCUGUUAGUCCAUUGAAAACACUUCAUCAGCAAGCUCACUUGAGUUAAGUCUUCAAAAACAUCAUCUGUUUUUCAGAUGUAUUACUUAUUGAGGAUUAAUGGGUUACAUAAAUUGAGGUGCAUAAAAAGCUGUUGGAGGCUGGGUGUGGUGGCUCACGCCUGUAAUCCCAGCACUUUGGGAGGCUGAGGCGGGCGGAUCACCUGAGGUCGGGAGUUCAAGACCAGCCUGACCAACAUGGAGAAACCCUGUCUCUACUAAAAAAUACCAAGAAAAAAAAAAGGCUGUUGGAAACAGUGCGGCUUGUUGAGUACAAUUUCUUCUUUUUACGGAGAUAAGUCCCAGCCCUCUGCCCUUUCCCCAGUAACUCGCACAUCUCAGUGAAGAGAGUAAAUGGUGGAGAAGCCUGUGCUGGUGUGAGGGCUGCUCCUCAGUGCCUCCUUCUUCCCUUUCUUGCUGCUGGUGCCAGAGCCCUUUGUGGGCACCACAUGCCUUGUGUUGGCCCAGCAGCUGCAGAGAGACAGCUGCUGAGCUCUCAGGCAUCCUCUCUAUCUCAUUUAGUCCUCGGUGGCCCAGCGAGAUAGGUGCAAUCUUCAUCCCCAUCUUAGAGAUGGGGAAGUGGAGGCUUAGAAGUCAACAGCUUAUCCAGAGGAAUGUACCAUAUGAGUAGCAGAUGAUUUAUCGAGCUGUAAUUAAACAUUCAGUUUUAGUGUGACUGGUUUGGCCCUUGUGCUUUAAAAUUCCCAAAGGGCCUUUUUUUCUUCAAUAAUUUUUUUUACUGAGAAGUACACAAGUCAUACAUGUACAGCUGAAUGAAUUUUCAUAAAGUAAACACAUCAUGUAACACCACUACUGGGGGUUGCUGAAGUGGGCUUCUUCCCCUGCCAGCCUUUCCCAAGACCUCCCCGUGGGAUCCACACACAGAUGUGCACACGUUACGCACACCCAUAUGCACAUGCAUGCAUUCUCUGCUUAUUUCUGCCUUGGAGUUUUGCUUGCCGUGUUCUCUCUACUACAGCUAUGCCAAAACAUAGCAGCAUAAACAGCAGAAAUAUAUUCUCUUAUAAUUCUAUACGUUAAGAGUCCAUUGUGGGUCCCACUGGGCUAAAGUUGAGGUGUCCACAGGGCUGGUUCCUUCUGGAGGCUCCAGAGAAGAAGCCAUUUCCUUGUCUUUCCAGCUCCUAAAGGCGGCUGCAUGCCUUGGCUCAUGGCCCUUCCUCUGUCUUCACAGCCAGCCACGUGACCUCUUCCACAGUCACAUCUUCCUUUGACUGUCAGCUUCCUCUGCAUUUCAGGACUCUUGCAAUCACAUUGAGCCCACCCAAAUUCUCCAGGGUCAUCUCCCUAUUUCAAGGUCAGCUGAUUAGCAUCCUUUACUCCCCUUUGAAAUUGGUAACAUAUUCACCAAUUCCAGGGAUUAGGAUGUGGACGUCUUUGGGGGGUCAUUAUUCUGCCCUCCAUACUUACCUUGUUCCUAGUGCCAGAAAUGUCCCUUUUAUCUCCCAGCCUCUCCCUCUGCUUCAUUUAAAAUCUUACCCUCUCUGCAACACUCACCUGCCUCGCUCACAAAGCUUUCACUCACUGUCUGUGCUGGUGUGAAAUGUGCCUUCCUCAGGUUUGAAAUAGCAAAUUACAGUCUGUGUCACACGGACCUAAUGUCAUUUGUUGAAUGUAGCUGCUCAGUGCCAGACCCUUUGCUGGUCUGAGGGUCUUGGGAAUCCUGUGGCUUCGCUGGGUUCAGAUGGGGAGUCAGACUGCCCGGCUCUGACUUUGGUUUCUGCUGUGUGACCUGGGCCAAGUUGCGUAACUCUCUGACUUACUUCCUCAUCUACAAGUGAAGACAGGGGUGAUAGGUGCCUGGGUUAAAGGAGACAAAGCCCCAGUAACCCUGCCUGGCACAUGAGUGAUACCUCAAAGACAGCUUUUGUUGGCUCUGGCCAUGGGUGAAUGUGGACUUCAGCCCAGCCUGCAGCAGGAUUUGCAUUUGCCAGGAUCCCCAGGAGGGGUGUAUGUGGGCUCAAGUCUGGGAAGCCCUGCCCUGAGGCACACAGCACAUUCCAGAGUGCGGGCAGCUUGAUGAAGGACAGCAGGGUCCCUGAAGACCAGGGCUGCCGCUGUCUCCUGUAAAUACAGCAGUGGGCUGGACUCAAAAUGCCUCCCCACUAUGUCCCUGAAAGUCAUCUUAGUUUUCUGCAUCUUCCUUACAGAUGACUCUUCUACAAAAGUGGACAUUAAGGAGACCUACGAGGUGGAAGCCAGCACUUUGUGAGUGUACAUGCCACCAAGCCCUGUGGUGGGACAUGCACCAAAUGCAUUGUCUGGUGUUGUCCAGGCUGCAGCCAGUCAGCUCCCCCAUCUCAGCUCACCCUCGCUAAGCCAUCCCCAGACCCACUGUCCCCAGCUUAGUGAAUGGCUGAGGCCUGGCUCGCCGCCCUCUCCUCAUAGACUUCUAGAGCCCUUGCUGUCCCUCUUGUCUCUCCCUGCCUACCUUCCCAUGGCCUCCCAAGAGUGAGCUUGUAUUAGGCAUGUUGGAUGGAGCUGUUCCCCUGCCCGAGCCUGCCGAGGCGCUGGCCUUCCAGCCCAUCUCUGCCACCGCCUGGGGCUCUGUAGUAGUUCACCCACUCGCGCUCUCCAUUCCUGCCACCUCCCCAACCCCGGCUCCUCCCCCUGCCCAACAAUGCUGCCCACUGCCUUGACCUGUGUACUCCCUCCCUUCACUCAGAGCCCAACUCAGAGCCACGCCCCCGGGGAGCCCCAGGACCAGGCCAAGCUGACCACCCUGCACACCCGGUCAGCUCUCCUCUCAUCAUCAUCAUCACUUACAUUCCUCUGUUCAAGGACAGGGACCCACACACACGGCAUGGACUAGGUUUCCUGAAACGUGUGUGGGAUGGAGGGUCGGAGAAGCUACCCGCUUACAUACCACAUUCUUUCGCAGCUGCUUCCCUGAAUCUGUGGAUGUGGGUGGUGCGUCACCCCAUGGCAAGACCAUCAGUGAGAGCGAGCUGAGCGCCAGCGCCACUGAGCUGCUGCAGGACUACAUGCUGACGGUAGGCCUCCACCGCAGGGACGCUGGACUGCAUGAGGGAGGGGGUACCCCAGGGAGGAUGGGGGGAAGGGGAGGAGGAGGAGGAGCAGUGCAGGGCAGGCUGCAGUGAAUAAGGUCACCUAGAGCACUCUUGGUCAAUUUUGCUGACAUCACUGCCUUUUCCUGGGGAUAGUCUAGGAGAGCAUCAGUCAGUGGGGCUGAGUUGGGAGUGCUGUGGCCAUCAGGGCUGGACUGUGGGCCUGUGCUUGGGUCCUGGGGGAGGGGAGGGAACGGUGGCCCCUGCAAGGCCACAUGGCCAGACAUUUUUAUCCUCCCCAUCUUAUAUAGUUCUGUCAUUGCAAACUCAAGUCUUCCUGAUCUGCCUGUGUGCCUGUGUGUAGCCUAAGGGCACAGGCAUUGGCCCUGGGCCAGGUUGCCAACUUCCACCCUGCCCUGCUGGCUCCUGUCCCUCCCAUGCACUCUGUGUUCCAGCUCAGGAGAGUGGAGCUGCCCAGGUGCCUUGGUCUCCUGUGGGUGGCCCCGUGCCAGGUCUGGUAGGAUGGGGACACAUUGUGGGCAUUCUGAUGCCCCAGCCUGUGCAGAGGUGAAGCCAGAGACAGCUGGUGCUCCGGCUGGGGUUAGUGGCUGUGGCAAGGUGGGCCCGACUGCCGACUCUUGCCUACUGUGCCCAGCCCCCCAUCUGGCUCUGCUCUCUUGCAGCUGCGCACCAAGCUGUCAUCACAGGAGAUCCAGCAGUUUGCAGCGCUGCUGCACGAGUACCGCAAUGGGGCCUCUAUCCACGAGUUCUGCAUCAACCUGCGGCAGCUCUACGGGGACAGCCGCAAGUUCCUGCUGCUUGGUCUGAGGCCCUUCAUCCCUGAGAAGGACAGCCAGCACUUCGAGAACUUCCUGGAGACCAUUGGCGUGAAGGAUGGCCGCGGCAUCAUCACCGACAGCUUUGGCAGGCACCGGCGGGCCCUGAGCACCACAUCCAGUUCCACCACCAAUGGGAACAGGGCCACGGGCAGCUCUGAUGACCGGUCGGCACCCUCAGAGGGGGAUGAGUGGGACCGCAUGAUCUCGGACAUCAGCAGCGACAUUGAGGCGCUGGGCUGCAGCAUGGACCAGGACUCAGCAUGAUGGACAGUGGAUGGGGGGCACCCACACCUUCCGCGCAGUCGUCGUAGGCCUUCCCAGAAGGAGCUGCCCAGACCUGCGUGUCAGCCCUUGGUGGUGGCCAGGGAGAGGCUCCUGGCGCAGAUGGCCCCGGGCGGCCCAGGUCCUCUACUGUGAAGGAGCAGGGAGCUGCCGAGGGACACGAGCCUCAUUGCGGGGUGGAAGGCUCUUUGCCUUGUCCACCAGGGCUCAGCCAAGCCCUGCAGCGUGUCCCCGCUCGGGGAGGGCCCGGCCGAGCGGGCAGGGAGAGCCAGUCCUGUCGGCUGGGCCCUUGGACGGCUGUCAGUUUUGCACAUGAUUUUCCUAUUGUAACUCUCAGAGACCUUAAAAAGAAGUUUACUGCAAUGUGAAUAAUUUAA